AACGCGAAGAACCUUACCUACCCUUGACAUCCUAAGGAUUCUACAGAGAUGUGGAAGUGCCGAAAGGAACUUAGAGACAGGUGCUGCAUGGCUGUCGUCAGCUCGUGUUGUGAGAUGUUGGGUUAAGUCCCGUAACGAGCGCAACCCUUAUCCUUAGUUACCAACAUGUAAAGAUGGGGACUCUAAGGAGACUGCUGGUGAAGAACCGGAGGAAGGCGGGGACGACGUCAAGUCAUCAUGGCCUUUAUGGGUAGGGCUACACACGUGCUACAAUGGUUGGUACAGAGGGAAGCGAAGUAGUGAUAUGGAGCGAAUCCUUAAAAGCCAAUCGUAGUCCGGAUUGAAGUCUGCAACUCGACUUCAUGAAGUUGGAAUCGCUAGUAAUCGCGAAUCAGAACGUCGCGGUGAAUACGUUCCCGGGCCUUGUACACACCGAUACUC
rnacentral:rRNA from 1 species